rnacentral:rRNA from 1 species
UACAGAGGUCCCAAGCGUUGUUCGGAUUCACUGGGCGUAAAGGGUGCGUAGGUGGUGAGGUAAGUCGGAUGUGAAAGCUCGGAGCUCAACUCCGAAAUGGCAUUGGAAACUACCUUGCUCGAGGGUUGGAGGGGGGACUGGAAUGCUUGGUGUAGCAGUGAAAUGCGUAGAUAUCAAGCGGAACACCAGUGGCGAAGGCGAGUCCCUGGACGACUCCUGACACUGAGGCACGAAAGCCAGGGGAGCAAACAGG